CAUCGAUAACGUAGGAUGGACAAGCACGCGAUUUGCAUCCUUGCUCUAGCCCUGCUGCUACAUCUCACAUGCUAUGCUACUAUUGCGCAAUGUAAGAGCACGGUUAUUUCUCCAUCCUUUCUUUUGAUUCAUAUUAGAUCCUUGGGCCUAUUUGUUUAUCAAAUCCAAAGCAGUUUGCUUAGCAAUGUUUCAUUUGUUAUUCCGAUAGGUCGAAUCAUCGCCGACAUGGACAGCGAGAAGAUCAAUCUACCAAAUGGGUUAUGCGGCCUACAAAAGCUCUGCACCGGUGAUUAUUGCUACUGUUGCCUAGCAACUAAUACUUGCUAUGGUUCUAUGGAUGUGUGCACGAGAUUCUGUGGAUAACUAGCGGCGAUGAAAAUCACUCCACCUUUACCUGCUCCUUUUCCAGCAUACUCAGAUUGGAUUUCAUAUUUAUCCUUCCCAGCAUAUAACUCGUGAUGCAAGACAAAAUAGUUUGGAAUAAGAGUAUUAUCCUAUGCUAAUUGUUUCAGUUCUGUUUGUCAUAUAUUGAAUUUCAACUAUUAUUACUUCGGUAGUGCAAAUAUGAAUCCAAUGAUUGUCAUCUUCAUAAAAGAGGUUAUGACUACUGUCGUAAAAUGGUCUAAACUCUGAAGUUUUAGAAAAAGAAUAAUGAUAUGCAAG
rnacentral:lncRNA from 1 species